rnacentral:rRNA from 1 species
UACGGAGGGGGCAAGCGUUGUUCGGAAUCAUUGGGCGUAAAGGGCGCGUAGGCGGCCGACCAAGUCGGGUGUGAAAUCCCUCGGCUCAACCGAGGAACUGCACUCGAUACUGGUUGGCUCGAGUCCGGGAGGGGAUGGUGGAAUUCCCAGUGUAGCGGUGAAAUGCGUAGAUAUUGGGAAGAACACCGGUGGCGAAGGCGACCAUCUGGACCGGAACUGACGCUGAGGCGCGAAAGCCAGGGGAGCGAAUGGG